AAUAAAUACAGGAUUGGCCUCGAGGAUCUGUCCGAAAAGCUAAGCAAGGAUCCUCCUCCGUCCCCCUUUGGAGAAACCAGGUCAGCCGUGUAUCCAAACCCACUGCAGGAUAACAUUUUCCAUCCCCUGUUCCCAAGAUAAAGUGCUGCCAUUGUUUUGACCAUUUGUGCAGAUUUUAUUUCACAUGGUCUGAUUCAUCUUUGUGUGGCAUCAAGUAUCUAAUGGAGCAUCUUAAACAGUAAUGAACACAGCCCUACUGACAUCUUGAUCUUCCUUCAGAGAGACCCA